rnacentral:rRNA from 2 species
CACCGCGGUUAUACGAGAGACCCAAGUUGUUAGACACCGGCGUAAAGAGUGGUUAAGAUUUCCUUUAAUACUAAAGCCGAACGCCCUCAGAGUUGUUAUACGCAUCCGAAGGUAAGAAGCCCAAUCACGAAAGUGGCUUUAUAACAUCCGAACCCACGAAAGCUAUGGUA